AUUCAACGCUGGCGGCAGGCCUAACACAUGCAAGUCGAACGAGUGGCGGACGGGUGAGUAAUGUCUGGGAAACUGCCUGAUGGAGGGGGAUAACUACUGGAAACGGUAGCUAAUACCGCAUACCAUCAGAUGUGCCCCGAUGGGAGUAGCUUGUUGGUGGGGUAACGGCUAGCCAAGGCGACGAUCCCUAGCUGGUCUUAGAGGAUGACAAGCCACACUGGAACGGAGAGACGGACCAGAAUCCUACGGGGGGAAGCAGUGGGGAAUAUUGCAAAAUGGGCGCAAGCCUGAUGGAGCCAUGCGGGGUGUAUGAAGAAGGCCUUCGGGUUGGAAAGUACUUGCAGCGGGGAGGCGUUACCUGCAGAAGAGGCACCGGCUAACUCCGUGUCAGCGGCCGCGGUAAUUC
rnacentral:rRNA from 1 species